rnacentral:lncRNA from 1 species
CUGGGCCCCAGAGCCUGAAAAUGCCUGGACAGAGUAAACGCGACCUGCUGCCGGGACAGGACACAGCACCCUUUACUCUCUGGUCUCCCUGUUACACCUUUGGAAAGUACUGCUCCUCAGGGAGAGUGUACGUCACGGCUGUCAGCUCCACUGCACUGUUGUUGAACUGGAGGCCCCGUGUGUGGUGCUACUGCCUGGGGGAGGGGGCCGCUUUCUGCAAGACUGGUUAAAUCUCAGUCACUCGUGGGCCUGUGUCCCUGGGCUGUGACCCUCACAGUGUUUCUUAGCUUCCCCCUUGGGUGAGACUCAAAGGCUGGAGUGGCUGGAGUGGGAGAGAUGCCGUUCCCCAGGAGGUCUGAUCUUCUGCAAGAGCCUGGUGGGGUUCCUGGAGGUAAAGCCCAGAAAAGUAUGAGGGCCCCUCAGACUGUGUCUCCCAGGACUUUCUCCCUCCCAGCCAGCCCACACUCAGCCUCUGGAAAACCACCCCAAUUGCCAGUGGAGUGCUCCCAUCAGCAUGAUGUCAGCAGCUUCUCUUCCAGGGUAUUUCGACUCCAAACAGAGUGUCCCUCCGUUCCAGGCAUGGAGAUGUAGUGGGGUUUCUGUGUCCCACACUUCCAGCUGCAUUGUCACCUCUCAGGAACCACAGCAGCGGGACUGUGAGACCUGCCCAUCCACUUGGAAUGCACCAUGCUCCUCCCUCCAACGUCCUCAAAUGUCCUGAGAUUCUUUGCAGCUGCCAGAGUGAGAGACUUUCUUUACUCACCUGGUAAGGAUCCUGGGAACCCUGUAAGCAAGAUCCCAGGCCAAUAUUUCCAAGUGGCUUCGUUUGUUCUCUAAAGUCAAUCCUUGUUCCUCAAAGGUGUUUGGUUAUAUCUGAGUUUAUGCAUGUUUUCCUCAAAGACGACAUUCCAGUCAAAGUGUUGGUAACACAACCAGUGUUUCCGAUUGUGUCCUGCUAUAGGGAGAACCUAUUCUUAUUGAACUUAUGCAAAUAACUAAAUUGCCAUGAAAAUAAGAAUACUCACUCAUCAAGAGGUUUCAAAUUCUAGAGGGAUCAGAUAGGGAAAAAAGAUAAACCUUUCACUUCUGUUUACAAAUUGUUGAAAAUCAUAGUUAGCUUAAGAGAAAAGAAACAAAGAUUUCCUUAAAUCUGGAAAGACAAAG